GAAGCGUGUGUUGGGGUGGAGUUGCAGAUCUUUAGAUUGACGACAAGGAUAUUCAUACGGAAGAUGCCUGAUGCGUUGGAGGCUUAAGAGAACGCAAAGGUACAUGAGGCUUAAGAGAACGCAAAGGUACAUGAGGAGAUGCGGACACCACCUUCUAUCUUUGUAUUUUAUAUUUAAGGGGCCAAAAAAAAUCAAAUUCUAAAAUUACAUCGUUCCGGCAAUCGUGUGCAAGCACCACC
rnacentral:lncRNA from 1 species